rnacentral:rRNA from 1 species
UACGGGGGGGGCAAGCGUUGUUCGGAAUUACUGGGCGUAAAGAGUGCGUAGGCGGUUUUCUAAGUUUGGUGUGAAAUCUCCCGGCUCAACUGGGAGGGUGCGCCGAAGACUGGAAGGCUUGAGUAUGGGAGAGGUAAGCGGAAUUCCUGGUGUAGCGGUGAAAUGCGUAGAUAUCAGGAGGAACACCUGCGGUGUAGACGGCUUACUGGACCAUAACUGACGCUGAGGCACGAAAGCGUGGGUAGCAAACAGG